GAUGAACGCUGGCGGCGUGCUUAACACAUGCAAGUCGAACGGGAAUUAUUUUAUUGAAACUUCGGUCGAUAUGAUUUAAUUCUAGUGGCGGACGGGUGAGUAACGCGUGGGUAACCUGCCUUGUACAGGGGGAUAACAGUCAGAAAUGACUGCUAAUACCGCAUAAGCGCACAGGACCGCAUGGUCCGGUGUGAAAAACUCCGGUGGUAUAAGAUGGACCCGCGUUGGAUUAGCUAGUUGGUGAGGUAACGGCCCACCAAGGCGACGAUCCAUAGCCGGCCUGAGAGGGUGAACGGCCACAUUGGGACUGAGACACGGCCCAGACUCCUACGGGGGGCAGCAGUGGGGAAUAUUGCACAAUGGGGGAAACCCUGAUGCAGCGACGCCGCGUGAAGGAAGAAGUAUCUCGGUAUGUAAACUUCUAUCAGCAGGGAAGAAAAUGACGG
rnacentral:rRNA from 1 species